rnacentral:rRNA from 1 species
AGUGAACGCUGGCGGUAGGCCUAACACAUGCAAGUCGAACGGCAGCACAGGAGAGCUUGCUCUCUGGGUGGCGAGUGGCGGACGGGUGAGGAAUACAUCGGAAUCUACUCUGUCGUGGGGGAUAACGUAGGGAAACUUACGCUAAUACCGCAUACGACCUACGGGUGAAAGCAGGGGACCUUCGGGCCUUGCGCGAUUGAAUGAGCCGAUGUCGGAUUAGCUAGUUGGCGGGGUAAAGGCCCACCAAGGCGACGAUCCGUAGCUGGUCUGAGAGGAUGAUCAGGCACACUGGAACUGAGACACGGUCCAGACGCCUACGGGAGGCAGCAGUGGGGAAUAUUGGACAAUGGGCGCAAGCCUGAUCCAGCCAUACCGCGUGGGUGAAGAAGGCCUUCGGGUUGUAAAGCCCUUUUGUUGGGAAAGAAAUCCAGCUGGCUAAUACCCGGUUGGGAUGACGGUACCCAAAGAAUAAGCACCAGCUAACUUCGUGCCAGCAGCCGCCGUAA